GGGGCCGGGAGCGGCGGCUGCGUGCGGAGUGCCGUUUGUCCCUUAGGCAAGCCCCAGCCCUGAGGGAAGCACCUUGCAUCCAAAAAAAGCAUGAUCUGCAUCCCUCUGUCAGCUGCCCUGGGGUGAUGCCAACGUGCAGACCCUGAGAGGGAGUCAGCUGUGUUGUCGUGAGCUAGCUCUGCCGUGCUGACCAAGGAGGGACCAACAGGGAAAGACACCUCCUGUGCACAGCUGACGUUUGUAUGUGCUGCAUCCUUUGAAUCUUUUCGCCCUGUAGCUUGAAGAGAUCGGAGAUUUAUUCUCACAUAGAGGCCAAAAAAAGUAAAAACUUCAGGAAUUCGGUGGUGCUUGUUUUAUAGUUAAUCUUAGUGUUGGUCCCAUCUUUCCUGACACUGAGAAUUUAACAUGGAGUAAGAUUAUUCCUGCCUGGAAACAUAACAUAAUUUCUCAAUAAACUCCAGCUUCGUAACUGUUGCAAUAUCAAGGACAUCAAGCCUUAGACUUCCCUACAAAGGAAAGUAUGUAUCAGCUUGGACCAGCACUGGAAGAAUUCUUAAGACUGGGCGGAAAGAACCAAUGUUUACUCAAAGCCGCUGAUUUGACACAGGUGCAUUCCCUUUCUAUUUCUGCAUCUCAGAAAGUGUCAAAGUGCUCUGCAGUGUAGAAACAGCAUAAAGUAGUGCUUGACACGUUGGACAUAAACACAUGUCAUGCAGCAGACAUCCUACUGUUACAAAUAACUGUUCCUGCUUCUGCUAGAAGGCACUGAUGUAGUCACAAAAUGUUCAAGAGACCUGAUCCUUUUGCUUUUAACUGUGUAACACUGGAAAUUUUGCCCCUCUGCAAAUUAUGCAUUGGGCCUUAGUAUACUUCUGUUGAA